UGGGCCGGGGGUGAGGCUUGGUGGGUGCCAGGGGUGCUGAGGCGGCCGAGGAGGGCACUGGGAGCUGCGUUCCGGGAGAGCUGUCUAAGGACGCGGAACCGGGUGGGGAGGCCAGGGAGGUAACCAAGAGUCCGAGCCGGGCCUGGUAAUUCUGAGGGAACCGGGACCGCAGUAUCCAGACGCUCCGAUCUGUACGAGCCGGGCCUCGGGCGUGGUCCGUGGGCGUGACCUUGAGGGUGACCCGGAGCGAGCUCCGCGAAGGGGGAUUUUGCCCGUUCUGAUCCCGCGGAAGCGCCAUCGCUGGCGGCGGGUCCCCGCGCGGAGCGGGCGCUGCGUGUUCGCGCGCGCGCGCGCGCGCUGAAUGGGGGUGGCCUCCUGCGCCCAACCUGCUGCAUUUUAGGACUGUUUCUUUUUCCAAAAGAGGAGCUCAAAAGAGAAAGUUCAUCUAGAAAUCUCAAAGCCAUGUCUCAGGUGAGAUGAUGUUUCCUCUCUUUCUGAAAUAACUUUUUUUCAUGGUGUAUGAACGUGAGCUUCCCUGUCCUUUAACCUUCCCUGAUGAUUUGCUUCCAUGAAAUUAGUCUUCAGUCAGGGCCAGAUUAGGAUGAGGCAGGCAAGUGGCAUGAGGUGAAAUAUUUAAGGGGUACCCUCAGGGCUG
rnacentral:sRNA from 1 species